GCGUCGGUGGUAUAACUGUUAGCGUAGCUGCCUUCCAAGCAGGUUGAUCCGGAUUCCACUCCCGGCCGAUACA